rnacentral:rRNA from 1 species
UGCCAGCAUCCGCGGUAAUACGGAGGGAGCGAACGUUGUCCGGAAUUAUUGGGCGUAAAGGGUGCGUAGGCGGACUAGUAAGUCUGGUGUGAAAGUUUGCGGCUUAACCGUAAAAGGCCACUGGAUACUGUUAGUCUUGAAUCACAGAGGGGGUAGUGGAAUUCCAGGUGUAGCGGUGAAAUGCGUAGAGAUCUGAAGGAACAUCAGUGGCGAGGGCGACUACCUGGACUGAUAUUGACGCUGAGGUGCGAAAGCGUGGGGAGCAAACAGGAUUAGAUA